GGGGCGAUGGCGGAACCGGCAGACGCAGUGGACUUAAAAUCCACCGGUGGCAACACCUUGUGGGUUCGACUCCCACUCGCCCCA
rnacentral:tRNA from 1 species